UACAGAGGUCCCAAGCGUUGUUCGGAUUCAUUGGGCGUAAAGAGCACGCAGGCGGUUUGGCAAGUCGGAUGUGAAAACCCGAAGCUCAACUUCGGGCCUGCAUCCGAAACUGCCCGACUAGAGGUAGGUAGGGGAGAUCGGAAUUCCUGGUGUAGCGGUGAAAUGCGCAGAUAUCAGGAGGAACACCGGUGGCGAAGGCGGAUCUCUGGGCCUUACCUGACGCUCAGGUGCGAAAGCUAGGGGAGCGAACAGG
rnacentral:rRNA from 1 species